rnacentral:rRNA from 1 species
UGCAGUCGAGCGGUAGCACAGAGAGCUUGCUCUCGGGUGACGAGUGGCGGACGGGUGAGUAAUGUCUGGGAAACUGCCUGAUGGAGGGGGAUAACUACUGGAAACGGUAGCUAAUACCGCAUAACGUCGCAAGACCAAAGAGGGGGACCUUCGGGCCUCUUGCCAUCAGAUGUGCCCAGAUGGGAUUAGCUAGUAGGUGGGGUAACGGCUCACCUAGGCGACGAUCCCUAGCUGGUCUGAGAGGAUGACCAGCCACACUGGAACUGAGACACGGUCCAGACUCCUACGGGAGGCAGCAGUGGGGAAUAUUGCACAAUGGGCGCAAGCCUGAUGCAGCCAUGCCGCGUGUAUGAAGAAGGCCUUCGGGUUGUAAAGUACUUUCAGCGGGGAGGAAGGCGGUGAGGUUAAUAACCUCGCCGAUUGACGUUACCCGCAGAAAAAGCACCGGCUAACUCCGUGCCAGCAGCCGCGGUAAUACGGAGGGUGCAAGCGUUAAUCGGAAUUACUGGGCGUAAAGCGCACGCAGGCGGUCUGUCAAGUCGGAUGUGAAAUCCCCGGGCUCAACCUGGGAACUGCAUUCGAAACUGGCAGGCUAGAGUCUUGUAGAGGGGGGUAGAAUUCCAGGUGUA